AUAUUAAUCUGAUAUUUGAAUGAUUUUUUGAUUGCAUGUAGUCAUUAGCUCAGAAAAGCAUAUUCAUGGAAUCAUAUAUAUGAAAGUUGGCCAACUCUUUCCAUAUGAUUCACACAUCAUCAUUUUAGCAUUUGCCAUGUGUCCACUAAAUAAUUAAUGUAAGCUCUUCAACUUCUAAUUUAUAGAUUAAUGAUGUAUUUAUU
rnacentral:sRNA from 1 species